rnacentral:rRNA from 1 species
AGUGAACGCUGGCGGUAGGCCUAACACAUGCAAGUCGAACGGCAGCACAGGAGAGCUUGCUCUCUGGGUGGCGAGUGGCGGACGGGUGAGGAAUACAUCGGAAUCUACCUUUUCGUGGGGGAUAACGUAGGGAAACUUACGCUAAUACCGCAUACGACCUACGGGUGAAAGUGGGGGACCGCAAGGCCUCACGCGAUUAGAUGAGCCGAUGUCCGAUUAGCUAGUUGGCGGGGUAAUGGCCCACCAAGGCGACGAUCGGUAGCUGGUCUGAGAGGAGGAUCAGCCACACUGGAACUGAGACACGGUCCAGACUCCUACGGGAGGCAGCAGUGGGGAAUAUUUGACAAUGGGCGCAAGCCUGAUCCAGCCAUACCGCGUGGGUGAAGAAGGCCUUCGGGUUGUAAAGCCCUUUUGUUGGGAAAGAAAUCCUAUCGGUUAAUAACCGGUGGGGAUGACGGUACCCAAAGAAUAAGCACCGGCUAACUUCGUGCCAGCCGCCGCCGUAAAAC